rnacentral:rRNA from 1 species
AUGAACGCUGGCGGCGUGCCUAAUACCUGCAAGUCGAGCGAACAGAUGAGGAGCUUGCUCCUCUGACGUUAGCGGCGGACGGGUGAGUAACACGUGGAUAACCUACCUAUAAGACUGGGAUAACUUCGGGAAACCGGAGCUAAUACCGGAGAAUAUAUUGAACCGCAUGGUUCAAUAGUGAAAGACGGUUUUGCUGUCACUUAUAGAUGGAUCCGCGCCGCAUUAGCUAGUUGGUAAGGUAACGGCUUACCAAGGCAACGAUGCGUAGCCGACCUGAGAGGGUGAUCGGCCACACGGGAACUGAGACACGGUCCAGACUCCUCCGGGAGGCAGCAGUAGGGAAUCUUCCGCAAAGGGCGAAAGCCUGACGGAGCAACGCCGCGUGAGUGAUGAAGGUCUUCGGAUCGUAAAACUCUGUUAUUUGGGAAGAACAAAUGUGUAAGUAACUAUGCACGUCUUGACGGUACCUAAUCAGAAAGCCACGGCUAACUACGUG